rnacentral:rRNA from 1 species
UACGUAGGGGGCAAGCGUUGUCCGGAUUUAUUGGGCGUAAAGAGCGUGUAGGCGGCUGGGUAGGUCCGUUGUGAAAACUCGAGGCUCAACCUCGAGACGCCGGUGGAAACCGUAAAGCUAGAGUCCGGAAGAGGAGAGUGGAAUUCCUGGUGUAGCGGUGAAAUGCGCAGAUAUCAGGAAGAACACCCGUGGCGAAGGCGGCUCUCUGGGACGGUACUGACGCUGAGACGCGAAAGCGUGGGGAGCGAACAGG